UACGUAGGGUCCGAGCGUUGUCCGGAAUUACUGGGCGUAAAGAGCUCGUAGGUGGUUUGUCGCGUUUGUCCGUGAAAACUCACAGCUCAACUGUGGGCGUGCGGGCGAUACGGGCAGACUGGAGUACUGCAGGGGAGACUGGAAUUCCUGGUGUAGCGGUGGAAUGCGCAGAUAUCAGGAGGAACACCGGUGGCGAAGGCGGUUCUCUGGGCAUUACCUGACGCUGAGGAGCGAAAGCAUGGGGAGCGAACAGG
rnacentral:rRNA from 1 species